GAUGAACGCUGGCGGCGUGCCUAAUACAUGCAAGUCGAGCGAACAGAUAAGGAGCUUGCUCCUUUGACGUUAGCGGCGGACGGGUGAGUAACACGUGGGUAACCUACCUAUAAGACUGGAAUAACUCCGGGAAACCGGGGCUAAUGCCGGAUAACAUUUAGAACCGCAUGGUUCUAAAGUGAAAGAUGGUUUUGCUAUCACUUAUAGAUGGACCCGCGCCGUAUUAGCUAGUUGGUAAGGUAACGGCUUACCAAGGCAACGAUACGUAGCCGACCUGAGAGGGUGAUCGGCCACACUGGAACUGAGACACGGUCCAGACUCCUACGGGAGGCAGCAGUAGCGAAUCUUCCGCAAUGGGCGAAAGCCUGACGGAGCAACGCCGCGUGAGUGAUGAAGGUCUUCGGAUCGUAAAACUCUGUUAUUAGGGAAGAACAAAUGUGUAAGUAACUGUGCACGUCUUGACGGUACCUAAUCAGAAAGCCACGGCUAACUACGU
rnacentral:rRNA from 1 species